rnacentral:rRNA from 1 species
CACAUAGGGCGGGUAGAGGGAACGUGGGGAAGUGAAACAUCUCAGUACCCACAGGAAGAGAAAGCAACCGCGAUUCCGUGAGUAGUGGCGAGCGAAAGCGGAAGAGGCUAAACCUCAGUUGUGUGAUACCUGUCAGGGGUUGCAGCUGGGGGGUCGUGGGACUUUUCGGUCAGUGCUGACACGCUGGCAUGGAGUCAGAAAUGCGCGUUGUAGUCGAAGGGCAUUGAAAGGCCCGGCACAGAGGGUGCUACCCCCGUAGACGAAACGAUGCGCACUCCAGAGAAGUAUCCCAAGUAGCACGGGGCCCGAGAAAUCCCGUGUGAAUCUGGCGGGACCACCCGCUAAGCCUAAAUAUUCCCUGGUGACCGAUAGCGGACAAGUACCGUGAGGGAAAGGUGAAAAGUACCCCGGGAGGGGAGUGAAAUAGAUCCUGAAACCGUGUGCCUACAAUCCGUCGGAGCCUCCUUGUGGGGUGACGGCGUGCCUUUUGAAGAAUGAGCCUGCGAGUUAGUGCUCAGUGGCGAGGUUAACCCGUGUGGGGAAGCCGUAGCGAAAGCGAGUCCGAAUAGGGCGUUUUAGUCGCUGGGUCUAGACCCGAAGCGGAGUGAUCUACCCAUGGCCAGGUUGAAGCGACGGUAAGACGUCGUGGAGGACCGAACCCACUUAGGU